UCCAUUCGGUGUAAAGGAUAGUUUUACCCCUGCGGAUUUAUUGAUAGGCUAACCAGUCAAAUUCAGUUUGAAUCAAAACCUAACUGGUCAGAAUUGAUAGGGUAGAUGGUUCAUAUUUUAGGAUCAAUUUGUGGAUUAUUUUCAUCUUUUAAAUUCAAUUCUUUGAAGAUAUAAAUGAGCAUCGAUGUGUCAAAUUCCACAUUAAAUUCUAGGAAUGUCCAUAAGCCUGUUUUUAGAGGAUUUUGGGGUCUGUCAAAGAGAGUUUAGUCAAGAUUGCAAUAUAAAUAGGUAUCCAGAUCGAUUUUAUCCAAACCGGUUGAAGUUCAGACCACAAAUUCCACAUCAAAUUCGAGCCGCCACUGGACCCGCGCCGACGAUAUCUUCUUACAGGCCACCGGCAAGAAGAUGAGAAGGGAUGAGGCAAACGUCAAGAACCUCGGCAGAUAGGUGGCGACAUCCAUGAAAACGUGGAGGAAUGAAGAAACCGGGCGAGUGAAUGACAC
rnacentral:lncRNA from 1 species